rnacentral:rRNA from 1 species
CAGUAGCCGCGGUAAUACGUAGGUGGCAAGCGUUGUCCGGAAUUAUUGGGCGUAAAGGGCUCGCAGGCGGUUUCUUAAGUCUGAUGUGAAAGCCCCCGGCUCAACCGGGGAGGGUCAUUGGAAACUGGGAAACUUGAGUGCAGAAGAGGAGAGUGGAAUUCCACGUGUAGCGGUGAAAUGCGUAGAGAUGUGGAGGAACACCAGUGGCGAAGGCGACUCUCUGGUCUGUAACUGACGCUGAAGAGCGAAAGCGUGGGGAGCGAACAGGAUUAGAGACCCCGGUAGUCCCUGUCUCUUAUAC